rnacentral:lncRNA from 1 species
AAGUUGCCUGUUUUCCUGCCCCAUCUCCUGCUUUACUGUGCUGAGCUGGGACAGCGUGUGUGAAGCAGCCCAAGCCCACAUCCUAGCUGCACCCAGGUUGUGGGCACCAGAGCGGUGGUCUGAGGAACAGAGGUCAGUUCUGGUGGAGGGGUUUAAGCAGGUUCUUGGAGGUGAUAAACUACUACAGGUCAUGGAAUGCUGGUAAGGACAAGAGACAGGAUGCCACAGACUAAUACUCCUUACCACACGGCCAUCUAUCUGUGCCUUUAUAGUCCGAUCUAGAACAAAGCAGAAUGUUCUUAUGGCAGGAGCUAACCCGUGGUCGUUAGGCUUUAUCAAACUUAGAGUCAGAGUCAACUUGGAUGAAAAGUGUCCCCAUUGUCCCCUGCCUACCUUUACCGGCCACCCCACUCUCUCUAAGGUGCCCUCUCCUUGAUAGCUCUGCCUCACAGCCCAUCUUCCAGCAAUUGACAGAGAUGAGCUUGAAGAAGGGUUACUCUCCAGGGAGCCUGUGGGCCAGCCUGCUACUCCAGUGAAGAUGGAGACCCCAGUUUGGCUCCUCUGAGCUGCUCCACCCUGUUAGCAGGGACAUCUGUGUAAUGACAACUCUCCCCACUGGAGCAAAGGUUGACUGGAGUCGGUGGAAGAGAGCAGAGUCUGG